CUACAAGGAUUGCUAAAGGAUGAUUUACCCAUGGACCGUGAUUGCUUUAAUUUGAUCGUACGGAAGAUUAUGUUGGAUGACAUCCAAACAUCACAAAAAACAAAGCAACUGAUAGCAAAGCAUUAUCUCGACAUGAAAUUUUGGAUGACUACUGAUUUUGGAAGGCACCCAGAUUUUCGUAAAAAUUUAGAUGUGGAGCAACUAGCAAAUUCUGUUCGUAGUUGGCCUGGUAUCAAAUAUAAUGUUUCAACAUGCAAAUCGAUCCAUAUUCCAGUACAAUGCAUUGAUGAAUUCAUUCUAUUCACAUUGGAUCAAGAUACCAGAACAGUGUACAUUUUGGACCCUACUCCUAUUAAUCCAAUGUACCGAUACAACCCACUCGCAAAAUAUGUGAAAAAAAUUAUAUGGAUUUCCGAACAUUUACCGAAAGCAAUGUCAAA